rnacentral:rRNA from 1 species
CGGGAAACUGGGGAUAAUACCCUAUAGAAUAUGGAUGCUGGAAUGCAAUGUAGCCGAAAGGUCCGCCGCCAUAGGAUGGGUCUGCGGCCGAUUAGGUUGUUGUUGGGGUAACGGCCCAACAAGCCUGUAAUCGGUACGGGUUGUGGGAGCAAGAGCCCGGAGAUGGAUUCUGAGACACGAAUCCAGGACCUACGGGGCGCAGCAGGCGCGAAAACUUUGCAAUGCGGGAAACCGUGACAAGGGAACUCUGAGUGCCCGUAACAUCGGGCUGUCCAUCAGUUUAAAAAACUGGUGAAGAAAGGGCCGGGCAAGACCGGUGCCAGCCGCCGCGUAACA